UGGGGGAUUAGCUCAUCUGGUAGAGCGCAAGCAUGGCAUGUUUGAGGUGAACGGUUCGAGCCCGUUAUCCUCCACCCA
rnacentral:tRNA from 1 species